GAUGGGCUUGUAACCGUGAAGCAUGUAGCUGGUAAGGAGCAGAAGGCUGAUAUCUUGACUAAAGCAUUAGGAAGGUGUAAGUUUAAAGAGAUGAGAGAGUUCAUUGAUGUUCUACAAGUGAAAGAAGAAGACAUCAAGCUUAAGGGGAAAAUGUUGACCUAACUUAAGCUUGAAGCUAUCUUGUUGUUAUCCUAAUGAACUUAGGAUUAGGAAAUCUUAUUUUAUUGUCACCUAGUUAAAUGUUUCCUAAUGAGUUUAGGAAACUAUAAGAGUCUAUAUAAGAAGGUACUGUAAUGUGGUAGAGCUUAGAGUGUUGUGAGCUUUUAGUUUUUGAGGUUUUCUAAAGGCAAUAAAGAGUUCCUAAGUUUGAGAUUAUAGAGGUUGAUGGUUCAGUUAGGAUUACAUCUUUGGUUUCAAUAGUAUGUUAUUAACAUAGAAAAGUUUCACGUCCUCUACAUGGUCUAGAA
rnacentral:lncRNA from 1 species